rnacentral:rRNA from 1 species
UACAGAGGGUGCAAGCGUUGUUCGGAAUUAUUGGGCGUAAAGCGCACGUAGGCGGCUUUGCAAGUCGGAUGUGAAAGCCCACGGCUCAACCGUGGAAGUGCAUCCGAAACUGCAUGGCUUGAGUCUCGGAGAGGAAGGUGGAAUGCUUGGUGUAGAGGUGAAAUUCGUAGAUAUCAAGCAGAACACCUGCGGCGAAGGCGGCCUUCUGGACGAUGACUGACGCUGAGACGCGAAAGCGUGGGGAGCAAACAGG